rnacentral:rRNA from 1 species
ACCCUGAUGCAGCGACGCCGCGUGAGUGAAGAAGUAUUUCGGUAUGUAAAGCUCUAUCAGCAGGGAAGAAGAUGACGGUACCUGAGUAAGAAGCCCCGGCUAACUACGUGCCAGCAGCCGCGGUAAUACGUAGGGGGCAAGCGUUAUCCGGAUUUACUGGGUGUAAAGGGAGCGCAGACGGCAGCGUAAGUCUGAAGUGAAAGCCCGCGGCUUAACCGCGGGACUGCUUUGGAAACUACGCGGCUUGAGUGUCGGAGGGGCAGGCGGAAUUCCUGGUGUAGCGGUGAAAUGCGUAGAUAUCAGGAAGAACACCGGUGGCGAAGGCGGCCUGCUGGACGACAACUGACGUUGAGGCUCGAAGGCGUGGGGAGCGAACAGGAUUAGAUACCCUGGUAGUCCACGCGGUAAACGAUGAAUACCAGGUGUCGGCGCCCAAAGGGAGUCGGUGCCGUCGCAAACGCAGUAAGUAUUCCACCUGGGGAGUACGUUCGCAAGAAUGAAACUCAAAGGAAUUGACGGGGACCCGCACAAGCAGUGGAGCAUGUGGUUUAAUUCGAAGCAACGCGAAGAACCU